rnacentral:piRNA from 1 species
UGUACUGAUCUCUCGAAGAGUUCGUCAGGCA